rnacentral:rRNA from 1 species
CAGUCGCCGCGGGAAUACGUAGGGUGCAAGCGUCAAUCGGAAUUACUGGGCGUAAAGCGUGCGCAGGCGGUCCGUUAAGACAGAUGUGAAAUCCCCGGGCUUAACCUGGGAACUGCAUUUGUGACUGGCGGGCUAGAGUAUGGCAGAGGGGGGUAGAAUUCCACGUGUAGCAGUGAAAUGCGUAGAGAUGUGGAGGAAUACCGAUGGCGAAGGCAGCCCCCUGGGCCAAUACUGACGCUCAUGCACGAAAGCGUGGGGAGCAAACAGGAUUAGAUACCCGAGUAGUCCCUGUCUCUUAUAC